rnacentral:rRNA from 1 species
ACGCUCGACACCUACGGGAGGGCAGCAGUAGGGAAUCUUCCACAAUGGGCGCAAGCCUGAUGGAGCAACACCGCGUGAGUGAAGAAGGGUUUCGGCUCGUAAAGCUCUGUUGUUGGAGAAGAACGUGCGUGAGAGUAACUGUUCACGCAGUGACGGUAUCCAACCAGAAAGUCACGGCUAACUACGUGCCAGCAGCCGCGGUAAUCUGAGCGGGCUGGCAAGGC